AGAUCCUCGGGAGGCAGCAGUGGGGAAUAUUGCACAAUGGGGGAAACCCUGAUGCAGCAACGCCGCGUGAGUGAAGAAGUAUUUCGGUAUGUAAAGCUCUAUCAGCAGGGAAGAAAUUGACAGUACCUCAGGAGGAAGCUCCGGCUAACUAUGUGCCAGCAGCCGCGGUAAUACAUAGGGAGCAAGCGUUAUCCGGAUUUAUUGGGUGUAAAGGGUGCGUAGACGGGAAAUUAAGUUAGUUGUGAAAUCCCUCGGCUUAACUGAGGAACUGCAACUAAAACUGAUUUUCUUGAGUACUGGAGAGG
rnacentral:rRNA from 1 species